AAACAUCAGGAACGUAACAGAUAUUUCUUGGUUUCAACUUUGCGACAUCAAAAGAGAAAGACUAGAAAAGGAAUUUAUAGAACAAGAACAUUUUUAAAGCGUAUCAGCCGACCCGGCUUACGAAUUUAUACCAACUAUCAAGGAAUUCCUAAAAUUUUGGGUGGAAUGGGAAUUGCUAUAUACCCACGUGAAUUUUGA
rnacentral:rRNA from 1 species